AUGUGGGAUCUUAGUUCCCAGAGCAGGCAUUGAACCUGUGGCCCCUGCAAUGGAAAUGUGGGGUCUUAACCACCAGCAUGUUUUGACCUCACCUGAUCUGGGUGAGAUUUUUCUAUUCCUUGUUCUGAAACUCUCCAUGCAGUUUAAAAAAAAUUAAUAUCUCCAAGAUUCAUAUCCUGUGUGAGUCUUUCUUGUAGCUCAAAGAGCAGCAGCUGUGUGAAUCACACUGAACCCAUUAAACCUGUGAGUUCUCCUGACUCCUGAAUAAGAGUAUUUGGGGCUGGGACUCAUGGAUCCAUAUUCAUGAAAGCCCCAGGGAAGUUUUGAAGCAUCCUAAAUGGUAAAGACUACUUCCAGCACUGCACGCUAAUGGGGCUUCUGAGGAUCUGCCCAUCCUGACUGUUCCUCAUUUCAUCUGUCUUGGGGCCCUGCCUACUGAUUUGUGACUUUCCAGCUAUGUCUUUGUAGCCUGGCCCUCUUGAGAGCAAUAUUAAUCUUUGGUCUGCAGUGCCUGGCCCUUAGUGAGCUCUGAUCUGGGCUCCUCUUUACACCCACACCAACAGCAAACACCUGAUAUGGUCUGUCUUGCAGUAUCUCACUGUUUGCUGAACCCAGGGUAGGCAAGGCUCCAGCUGGGAAGCUGAAAGAAGGUGAGAGGAGCAGUAGGAACUGCAAACAUUACUCACAGCAGCAAGGCAGACAUGCUUUACUCUCUAACGGCUGACACAAACAAUGCCACCGCCUUGACUCACCGCUCCAAGAGUGUUUCAGGUGCUGCUUAUAUAUAUCACACCACGAUGUGCAUGCUCAGCACUACAAAUGAUCCCAGCUGUAGGACACGAGUGGAGUGGGGCAAAAGAGUUUUACCACCACCACCUGGCUAAUUGCUGUCUCCCUACAUAGUCUCUCACGGAGUCUUGUAGAAGGUGCAGGGAGAGAGGGCUGCUGGAGAAGCACAGGCUGCUAUAUUUGUAACUGGUUGAUCCACAGUGGCUCAGGGUCCCUCUGGAUCAAAAUCUCCAGAAGCCCCAUCCACUUCCACAGUCUGGAGGAGCUGCUGAGCCUCAAGUAAAAUUCCUAGGGUUCUCCCAGGUCUCUUGCUGACUGCUCUUCUCUAAAGGCCCCCUCCAGGGAACAUCUAGAGAACAUCCAGGGACACAGCAGCAGUGACAUACACAGGAAUGCCAGCAAUAAUGUUGUUUUGGAACUUUGUCUACAAAAUCUUCUCCAAACUGUUUCUGGGAAAGAAGGUGAUGGUAAGAGUUGCUCACCCUGAUGUGAACUGUGGCAACCAGUAUAGAGGGGUCUGUUGGCUGGAGGAGGAGCCCCCCAAGCCUCAUCAGUGUUGGGAGUGUCCUGAGUCUUGGCCCAUGUGGGACUGAGCUUCAGACCAAGACUUUGGGAGCAGGCGUGGUUAGAAGAUACAAAGCUGCCUGGAACUAGAGUGAAGCUACCAGUAGAAGAACCAGGGAAGGAAGCAAGCAGAGUGAUGGCAGUGUGGCGAAGGCUGCAGAAGUAGAACCAGAGAGAGAUGCUCAUGCAGGAGUAAAUCUGGGAGAGCACUGGCAUUACUGUUUGCAAUUCUUUUAAAUUAUUUUGAGAGAUACUUUUUUUAACCUUUAAGAAUCAGUGUAGUUACAUUUAUAAUACUUUCUGUAUCAGUUUUUAGGUGUUAGAAACUGGCAAGAAGCCUGAGAGGAGGCUUAAUUCUGGAAAA